rnacentral:rRNA from 1 species
CGACCGGCGCACGGGUGAGUAACGCGUAUCCAACCUGCCCACCACUUGGGGAUAACCUUGCGAAAGUAAGACUAAUACCCAAUGAUAUCUCUAGAAGACAUCUGAAAGAGAUUAAAGAUUUAUCGGUGAUGGAUGGGGAUGCGUCUGAUUAGCUUGUUGGCGGGGUAACGGCCCACCAAGGCGACGAUCAGUAGGGGUUCUGAGAGGAAGGUCCCCCACAUUGGACUGAGACACGGUCCAA